CCCUUCCACGUGAACCGUUUUGUUUUGCUUUCGAGUGCUUUGUUGUGCUCGGAGCAUGUUUGGGCUUCGCUGCUGGCGCUUGAUUGUGCUGGCGGCUCGAGGCCAUCAAGCGGCGUUUUGAGUGUGUGUUCGCAUACAAUUGAAACGUCCAAACCUUUUAAACCCAUUUGAUUGAAAACUGAAGUAUACUGUGGGGACGAAAGUCCUCGCUUUGAAACUAGAUAACAACUUUCAGCAGUGGAUGUCUAGGCUCGCACAUCGAUGAAGAACGCUGCGAACUGCGAUACGUAAUGCGAAUUGCAGGAUUCAGUGAGUCAUCGAACUUUUGAACGCAUAUUGCACUUUCGGGUUACGCCUGGAAGUAUGUCUGUAUCAGUGUCCGUACACUAAACUUGCGUCUCUUCCGUCGUGUAGUCGUCGGUUGUUUGAUUGCAGAUGUGAGGUUGUCUCGCGAUCCGUUGCUUGUCGACAGGGUUGCGAGUCCCUUUAAAGUCGGACGCGUGUUUUUCCGUUUUGUGCUUGAUGGGGUGCGGCUGCGGCCGUGUCUGCUGGCGGGUCCGGUGACCUUUGGCGAUGGCAUGAGAGUGGAUUGCUCGAUUUGCGGUAUGUUAGGCUUCGGCUUUGACAAUGCAGCUUAUUGAGUGUGUUCGCUUGGCUGUUGCUGUAUGGGUGAGCUGGAUGGUCGGUGGGUGCGUUGUUGCGUGUCGUUUUCAU
rnacentral:misc_RNA from 1 species